GGGGAAUAUUGCACAAUGGGCGAAAGCCUGAUGCAGCAACGCCGCGUGAGUGAUGAAGGUCUUCGGAUUGUAAAGCUCUGUCUUUUGGGACGAUAAUGACGGUACCAAAGGAGGAAGCCACGGCUAACUACGUGCCAGCAGCCGCGGUAAUACGUAGGUGGCGAGCGUUGUCCGGAUUUACUGGGCGUAAAGGGUGCGUAGGCGGAUGUUUAAGUGAGAUGUGAAAUACCCGGGCUUAACUUGGGUGCUGCAUUUCAAACUGGAUAUCUAGAGUGCAGGAGAGGAGAAUGGAAUUCCUAGUGUAGCGGUGAAAUGCGUAGAGAUUAGGAAGAACACCAGUGGCGAAGGCGAUUCUCUGGACUGUAACUGACGCUGAGGCACGAAAGCGUGGGUAGCAAACAGGAUUAGAUACCCUGGUAGUCCACGCCGUAAACGAUGAGUACUAGGUGUAGGAGGUAUCGACCCCUUCUGUGCCGCAGUAAACACAUUAAGUACUCCGCCUGGGAAGUACGAUCGCA
rnacentral:rRNA from 1 species